rnacentral:misc_RNA from 1 species
GAUGAAGAACGUAGCGAAAUGCGAUAAGUAGUGUGAAUUGCAGAAUUCAGUGAAUCAUCGAAUCUUUGAACGCACAUUGCGCCCCUUGGUAUUCCAUGGGGCAUGCCUGUUCGAGCGUCUCCAGGACGAAUCCUCGCGCGAGUGAACGCGCGGUCGUGGCGGAGGUGGCGUGCCCGAGCAGGGCGGCCACCGCGCUGGAAUCCAUGGGCGGACGCCUGCCGCGUGGCCGAGCGUGAUAUGACGCAUUGGCGCUCGUGCGCGGCGAGGCUGCCAGCCCUGGCCCGUCUGUCGGGCGGGGUAGAUCACCACGUGGGAACUCCUCGAAUCAGGUAGGGAUACCCGCUGAACUUAAGCAUAUCAAUAAGCGGAGGA